GUUCGGUAUAGGUCUAAUACUCCACUUGUUCUGAAAGGAAUCUCCCUUAGAAUCAACGGAGGAGAAAAAAUUGGCAUCGUUGGGCGCACUGGAAGUGGGAAGUCUACUCUGAUACAAGUUUUCUUUAGGCUUGUUGAACCUUCAGCGGGAACCAUCAUAAUUGAUGGUGUUGACAUUUGCAAGUUAGGACUUCAUGAUCUAAGAUCACGCUUCGGCAGUGGAACCUUCAGCUGGAACCAUCAUAAUUGAUGGUGUUGACAUUUGCAACUUAGGACUUCAUGAUCUCAGGUCACGCUUCGGCAUCAUUCCUCAAGAACCAGUACUGUUUCAAGGGACAGUUAGAAGCAAUAUUGAUCCCCUAGGACAGUAUU
rnacentral:lncRNA from 1 species